rnacentral:lncRNA from 1 species
UCGAUUGUAGUACAUAACCGAGGGGUAAAUGCUUUAUGGUACAUGCUUCGAAUCCCAGCAACUGCAGUUUAUGUUUUUAUUUCUUUUUCUUUUUUUUAUUGAUUUAAAAAUUAAAUAAUCUAUUCCUUUGGUUAGUAUAAUAACCGAGGGGUUUGAUACCCGAAUUUAACUAUAAAAUAAUUUGUUCACUAAGUUGUACCCUAAACCUAACUCUUA